CCUUUGGAUAAUGAUAUUUUCAUUUCAUUUCAUCCUACCGAUACCAUCAAUAUCCAAACUCUCAAACUUAUGAAAAUCAUCAAAGAGCACGUCAAAGGGUGGCACAGAGGGCUUUGAUCCUCAUUCAAGUCCUAGCCCAGACUCCUACGGGAGGCAGCAGUGGGGAAUUUUUCGCAAUGGGCGAAAGCCUGACGGAGCAAUGCCGCGUGGAGGUAGAAGGCCCACAGGUCGUGAACUUCUUUUCCCGGAGAAGAAGCAAUGACGGUAUCUGGGGAAUAAGCAUAGGCUAACUCUGUGCCAGCAGCUGUGAUAAGACAGAGGAUGCAAGCGUUAUCCGGAAUGAUUGGGCGUAAAGCGUCUGUAGGUGGCUUUUUAAGUCCGCCGUCAAAUCCCAGGGCUCAACCUUGGACAGGUAGUGGAAACUACCAAGCUGGAGUACGACUUUUACCUUUCGAAGAAGAUGAAGAUGUGGUUUGAGGUGAUUAUGACGAUGUACCACAUGUUUCAUGUCUUCCUCAUAUCUUUCUGAUUUCUAGUGCUCUUCCUCUUUCUGGUGAUUUCAUUUUUA
rnacentral:rRNA from 1 species